GCUGACUGCAGCUUAACAGUAUACGACGUCUCUCGCCUCGUGGACAAGUUCACACAGCUCAGAAUCAAGAUUGGGGACGAUUCUGUUUGACAGUUCUUUGUCAUGAUGAAACGGAAGGGACCAGAGAAGGACACUAUUCAUCUCAAGAGUCUUUGGCAGAAGAGACUCUUCCACCUACAGAGGAGAAUGACAUCCCACCACUACACAAGAGACACAAACUAUCAUCAGUAGAGGAUUACAGAGUUGGAGCUGUGACACCUGUUGAAGGUUUUUUGUAAUAACAGUUAAACAUCUCAAACAUGUCCUUCUCUUCAUCAGAACACAGCUGCCCAACUCACAUAUGGCUGCAUUUUAAGACAAAUAGAAUUGCCUCUAGCUUCUACCUCCCCCUC